UAACGAAUCUUCCCCAAUGCACGAAAGUGUGAGGGAGCGACGCCGCGUGUGGGACGAAGUCCUUCGGGAUGUAAACCACUGUCAGGGGCUACCAAGUUCUGAGGAGCCCCAGAGGAAGAGGCGGCUAACUCUGUGCCAGCAGCCGCGGUAAGACAGAGGCCUCAAGCGUUAGGCGGAAUCACUGGGCUUAAAGCGUGUGUAGGCGGAACGUUAAGUACCUUGUGAAAUCCCACGGCUCAACCGUGGAACGGCUGGGUAUACUGGCGUUCUUGGGCCACUCAGGGGCAACUGGAACAAGCGGUGGAGCGGUGAAAUGCGUAGAUAUCGCUUGGAACGCCGAAGGUGAAGACAGGUUGCUGGGGGUGUGCCGACGCUGAGACACGAAAGCCAGGGGAGCAAACGGG
rnacentral:rRNA from 1 species